GCUGCAGGAGUGUGUCCAUGCAGCCGUUGCACUGGAAGAGCUGCAGCCGAGCCUCCUCGCUUUUGGCCGUGAGGUUCCCCAGGGUGAAGAGAAGACGCACGACCAGGUCCUGUGUGGGGAUCGGGGGUUAAUUUCGAGAAUAAAGAUGCUGAAUAACACCCUGCAUGACACACUCGUAUCCUGACGCUGCUGAGUAAAUAACACCAGGGCCAGAACCACUUUCUUUUUGCCUCCCUGCUUAUAUAGACGGAUUCACCUGCACAACGAUGUGUCCUGCUGUACCGAAGUGAGCGUCUUCCACCGUGUGAAGCCUCUGGAGGAGUUUCUGAGAAACGCCGAUGCAGUUCUUGUCCAGCAGGAGUCUGAGGAUGGCACCGUUUCCCGAGAGAAACUUCAGAGCACCGACGCAGUACAGGAGAGCUUCCCCUGAUGUAGACACCUCCUCGCUGCGCAGCACGCCCAGCAGCGAGUCUAGACACAGAUUCAAAAGAAAAAGAAAACAUCCACUGUUGUCAUCAAUGACGGGGUUCACAAAAAUGGCACCAAAUCCAACCAGAUAAAGAUCUUACGUCCACCGAGGCCCAACAGUCCCUUUAUGAAACCACAUUUAAAUCCUCUAGAUCCGGAUUUUAUUUGCACCAAAGUGCUAA